GCCCUGUUAGCUCAGCGGUUUAGAGCAUAAGAUUGCAGAUCUUAGGGUCCAUCGUUCGAAUCGGUGACAGGGCU
rfam:Aspergillus zonatus CBS 506.65 unplaced genomic scaffold ASPZOscaffold_5, whole genome shotgun sequence.